AGCGAACGUUAGCGGCGGGCCUAGCACAUGCAAGUCGAACGCGAAAGGUCUUCGGACUGAGUAGAGUGGCGCACGGGUGAGUAACACGUAGAUAAUCUACCCUUUGGCGGGGGAUAACAUUCCGAAAGGAAUGCUAAUACCGCAUAAGACCACGCUGUCUCUGGGCAGAGUGGGAAAAGGUGGCCUCUUCUUGAAAGCUACCACCGGAGGAUGAGCCUGCGUCCCAUCAGCUAGUUGGUAAGGUAAUGGCUUACCAAGGCUAAGACGGGUAGCUGGUUUGAGAGAAUGAUCAGCCACACUGGCACUGGAACACGGGCCAG
rnacentral:rRNA from 1 species